UACGUAGGGGGCGAGCGUUGUCCGGAGUUACUGGGCGUAAAGCGCACGCAGGCGGUCGUGUAAGUUUGGGGUUACAGCUCCCGGCUCAACUGGGAGAGCGCCUUGAAGACUGCAGGACUUGAGGGCCAGAGAGGGACACAGAAUUCCGGGUGUAGUGGUGAAAUGCGUAGAUAUCCGGAGGAAUACCAAAGGCGAAGGCAGUGUCCUGGCUGGUGACUGACGCUGAGGUGCGAAAGCUAGGGGAGCGAACGGG
rnacentral:rRNA from 1 species